UGCCUUUUGAAGAAUGAGCCUGCGAGUUAGCGAUACGUGGCGAGGUUAACCCCGUGUGGGGGUAGCCGUAGCGAAAAGCGAGUCUGAAUAGGGGCGAUUUCAGUCGCGUGUCCUAGACCCCGAAGCGAAGUGAUCUAUCCAUGGCCAGGUUGAAGCGACGGUAAGACGUCGUGGGAGGGACCCGAAACCCCACUUUAGGGUUUGAAAAAACUGAGGGGGGAUGAGCUGUGGGAUAGGGGGGUGAAAAAGGGCCCAAUCAAAACUUUCGUGAUAGCUGGGUUUCUCUCCCGAAAAAUGCAUUUUUAGGGUUGCAGCGUUUGCGUGUUUUUCUUUGCCCGGGAGGGUAGAGCUACUGGGAUGGGCCCGAU
rnacentral:ncRNA from 1 species